rnacentral:rRNA from 1 species
UCUGGUACGCACUGGUUUCGCUAAUUCCUCCUUUCUGAAGAACUGUAAUGUCAUUAAUUUGGUGUUGCAGGNAAACAGGACUGUUACUUUGAAAAAAUUAGAGUGUUUAAAGCAAGCUAACGCUUGAAUACAUUAGCAUGGAAUAAUGAAAUAGGACGUUUGAUCCUAUUUUGUUGGUUUCUAGGAUUGACGUAAUGAUUAAUAGGGAUAGUUGGGGGCAUUAGUAUUCAAUUGUCAGAGGUGAAAUUCUUGGAUUUAUUGAAGACUAACUACUGCGAAAGCAUUUGCCAAGGAUGUUUUCAUUAAUCAAGAACGAAAGUUAGGGGAUCGAGGACGAUCAGAUACCGUCGUAGUCUUAACCAUAAACUAUGCCGACUAGGGAUCGGAUGAUGUUAAUUUUUUAAUGACUCA